rnacentral:misc_RNA from 1 species
GAUGAAGAACGUAGCGAAAUGCGAUACUUGGUGUGAAUUGCAGAAUCCCGUGAACCAUCGAGUCUUUGAACGCAAGUUGCGCCUCAAGCCAUUAGGUUGAGGGCACGUCUGCCUGGGCGUCACAUAUCGUUGCCUGAUGCCAGUUUCCUCGUGAUGGGUGACUGUGCAGGGCGAAUGAUGGCUUCCCGUGAGCAUUGUUGCCUCAUGGUUGGUUGAAAAUUGAGUCCUUGGUAGGGAGCGCCGUGAUAGAUGGUGGUUGAGUGACGAACGAGACCCAAUCAUGUGAGACCCCUAGCGAAUUUGGCCUUCAUGACCCACAUGCGUCUUUGGAACGCUCAUGACGAGACCUCAGGUCAGGCGGGGCUACCCGCUGAGUUUAAGCAUAUCAAUAAGCGGAGGA